rnacentral:lncRNA from 1 species
GGAAGUGUUACAUCACCUUUUGCUUGGAAAGAUUUACUAAGAAGUCAAAUAGUGGGUUCCUUAGAGGGAAGAGGUUGGAAAGAACCAUGACUGUAUUCAGGAAGGCACAUGAACUGAAGCUUCUGUCAGAAUGCCAAUACAAGCAGUUGAGUGUUUCGUUGCUGUGUUAUAACUUCCUGAGGGAAGCUCUGGAAGUGGCAGUAGCUGGAACUGAAUUGUUUAGAGACUCUGGGACAAUGUGGCAGCUGAAGCUGCAGGUGCUGAUCGAGUCAAAGAGCCCUGACAUAGCCAUGCUUUUUGAAGAAGCCUUUGUGCACCUGAAACCCCAGGUUUGUCUGCCAUUGUGGAUUUCCUGGGCAGAGUGGAGUGAAGGUGCCAAAAGCCAAGAAGACACUGAGGCAGUCUUUAAGCUCUCUUAGCUGUCAUAGGUGCCGACUCAGUAACCCUGAAGAAUAAGUACCUGGAUUGGGCUUAUCGAAGUGGUGGCUACAAAAAGGCCAGAGCUGUGUUUAAAAGUUUACAGGAGAGCCGACCAUUUUCAGUUGACUUUUUCAGGAAAAUGAUUCAGUUUGAAAAGGAGCAAGAAUCCUGCAAUAUGGCGAACAUAAGAGAAUAUUAUGAGAGAGCUUUGAGAGAGUUUGGAUCCGCAGAUUCUGAUCUUUGGAUGGAUUAUAUGAAAGAAGAAUUGAACCACCCCCUUGGUAGACCUGAGAACUGUGGACAGAUCUACUGGCGAGCGAUGAAAAUGUUGCAGGGAGAGUCAGCAGAGGCAUUUGUAGCUAAACAUGCUAUGCAUCAGACUGGCCAUUUAUGAAGAUGAAGAAUACAGUCAGCUUUGUGAAAUAGUAUUGCAAGCAAGCCCCGUGGGCAAAUUUGUAUUGAGUCCAUCUGUAAUUUGCUCAGUGAUGGCAGACAAGAUGGCUGUCUGGUUUUGAGACACACUUUAAUUUUAUGUUAACUUGUUAAAUCUUUUUAAAAAUUAAAAAAUUUUUAUGAUUGAGACUGGGUCUUGCUCUGUUGCCCUGGCUGGUCUUGAACUCCUGGACUCAAGUGACCUUCUCACCUCAGACUCCUGAGUAGCUGGGAUUAUAGGUGCAUGACACUGCUCAGUUUGAUGUGCUAAUCUGAUUCCAGUAAAGAGAAUUGCUGAUUUAAUGUUGAGGCCCGAUCUUCCACAGGUCCUAAAUGUUUCCCAAAAUACAUGGAUAGCAUACGACUGGGUUUUUUUAAAAUUAUCCCAGGUCAAGCAUGAGUAUCUCUAAUCUCGACCUAAGAGCCAGUUAAAAUGAAGGAGAAAGUGGCCAGGCAUGGUGACUCAACGCCUGUAAUCCCAGCACUUUGGGAAGGCUGAGGCAGGCGGAUCACCUGAGGUCAGGAGUUUGAGACUAGCCUGGCCAACAUGGUGAAACCCCGUCUCUACUAAAAAUACAAAAAUUAGCCAGGUGUGGUGGUGGGUGCCUGUAAUCCCAGCUGCUUGGGAGGCUGAGGCAGGAGAAUUGCUUGAACCUGGGAGACGGAGGUUGCAGUGAGCCGAGAUCAUGCCAUUGCUACUCCAUCCUGGGUAAGAAGAGCGAAACUCCUUCUCAAGG